rnacentral:rRNA from 1 species
UACGUAGGGUGCGAGCGUUGUCCGGAAUUAUUGGGCGUAAAGAGCUCGUAGGCGGUUUGUCGCGUCGGCCGUGAAAUCUCCACGCUUAACGUGGAGCGUGCGGUCGAUACGGGCAGACUUGAGUUCGGUAGGGGAGACUGGAAUUCCUGGUGUAGCGGUGAAAUGCGCAGAUAUCAGGAGGAACACCGGUGGCGAAGGCGGCUCUCUGGACCGUAACUGACGCUGAGGCGCGAAAGCGUGGGGAGCAAACAGG